rnacentral:lncRNA from 1 species
CUGUGCACUUUUAAUCCACCUCUUUUUCUGAUCUCUUCUUAGAUGUCCUUUCUCUGGGAAGGGCCCCUCUAAGUCUGGGUCAGCUGGCUUGCUCCCUGACUUGUUCCCAUAAUGCCCUCUACUGCUGUUCUCAUCAUACUUGUCAUGUUGGAUGAUGGCUUCUUAUUUUUGUGUAUCCUCCCCUUACCUGUAAGUACAAUGACACCAGAGACUGGGUCUAUCUCAGGUCCCCCACCACCCAACACACAGUGCCUGGCACAUAUUCUGUCCUCAGUGUGUGUGUCUGUGUGUACAUCUUAGUGUAUGCCCAUGUGUUAAAUGAAGCCAAGACCUUGCUUCAAAUCCUGGCUCUGCCACUUACCUGCACUCACUGACUGCCUGCUUCCCCAUCUUUUCUGCCCUCCUCAUUCCCACUGCCAAUUCCCAAGUUAAGGUCCUCAUAAUAGUUUACCUAAAUUGUUUCUAGAAAAUUCCUUUAAAUUUGCCCUGCCUGCUCCCAAUGCUGCCCUUUGCUUGCCUUCAGGUAAUUUUUGUUAAAAUGUUGGUAAAUGUUCUCUCUCAUUAAGAAAAACCUUAGGAUUUAUAUUAAAACUUUCAGCUCCCUAGUCUAGCUUUCAGGGCUGUUUACCAUCUAAUCUCAAACUACCUUUCCAGCGCUCCUCGCAUGAACUCUGACUCACCAGCAUCAGACCGUCUGCCAUUUCCUGAGUGCAUCAUCAGCUGUCACAUCUCUGGGCGGUUAAGGCAGCUCCUCUUUCUGCCUCGGAAGGCCUUCCGACUCCCUCUUCCACCUGAAGAAAUUCUCUGGGGUCACAGAGAUCUUGUUCCUCCUCCUUCUCCGAUACCAACCAUGGCCAUUGUUUUUCAGAGUGCUGACCAGAAGUCCUCCAGAGCCUGUUGAUCAAAUUUCUUUCUGUAAAGUGGGAGUGACAUCCACUCCAUGGGGAUGCUGUGCUUAUUGAAUAUGGUGGCAUAAAUGAUGCGAUGAAUGAGCACCUGGUGAUGCGGACUGCAGAGACGCAGCGGCAGGAAGAGAGCAGAAAAAGUAGAGGCAGCUGGGCUGCAUAAGGCUGCGGGGAAUGAAAAGAAGGACCUGGGAGGUAUUACCUGCACCCAGCGCAGGGAACAUUCAAAAGCUACUGAGGUACAAAAUAAACCACCUAAGACCAAAUGGGGAACA